rnacentral:rRNA from 1 species
GGUAGGUGGGGGCGGGGUGCGGGGGUAGGACAGGGGGUGGAAAGGUGGGUCGGAAGUACGGGGAGUAAAGAGCUUGGAGGCGGUGUCGGAAGUCGGGGGUGAAAGCCAAGGGCUCAACGCUGGAAGUGCACUCGAUACUACGGAGCUGGAGUACUGAAGAGGAGAGCGGAAUUCCCGGUGUAGAGGUGAAAUUCGUAGAUAUCGGGAGGAACACCAGUGGCGAAGGCGGCUCUCUGGGCAGAUACUGACGCUGAGACGCGAAAGCAUGGGGAGCAAACAGGAUUAGAUACCCGGUUAGUC